GACGAACGCUGGCGGCGUGCUUAACACAUGCAAGUCGAACGGUGAAGCUCCAGCUUGCUGGUGUGGAUCAGUGGCGAACGGGUGAGUAACACGUGAGCAACCUGCCCCUGACUCUGGAAUAAGCGCUGGAAACGGCGUCUAAUACUGGAUACGAGAAGGGUCCGCAUGGGCACUUUCUGGAAAGUUUUUCGGUUGGGGAUGGGCUCGCGGCCUAUCAGCUUGUUGGUGAGGUAAUGGCUCACCAAGGCGACGACGGGUAGCCGGCCUGAGAGGGCGACCGGCCACACUGGGACUGAGACACGGCCCAGACUCCUACGGGAGGCAGCAGUGGGGAAUAUUGCACAAUGGGCGAAAGCCUGAUGCAGCGACGCCGCGUGAGGGAUGACGGCCUUCGGGUUGUAAACCUCUUUCAGCAGGGAAGAAGCGAAAGUGACGGUACCUGCAGAAGAAGCACCGGCUAACUACGUG
rnacentral:rRNA from 1 species